AAGAAAAGAAAAGAGACACGCAUUUCGCGCCUUGUGUUGAGAGAAGUGAAUGACAUUAAAAUGCAAAUUUAGUGGGCACCCCACCUUCUUCUCCAUACAACCAUUCGAAUUGUGUGGAAAAAGUAGAUGGUGCAACACAACCAGUUGGCAACAAAUGUGUCCGCAAAAGGACAGAUGUUUCCAA
ensembl:ncRNA F52F12.15 ncRNA